AGAGUUUGAUUCUGGCUCAGGACGAACGCUGGCGGCGCGCCUAACACAUGCAAGUCGAACGGGACUAUUUUGGGAGAAGUUUUCGGAUGGAUCUCGGGAUAGUUUAGUGGCGGACGGGUGAGUAACACGUGAGCAACCUGCCUUCGAGAGGGGAAUAACGGCUGGAAACGGUCGCUAAUACCGCAUAACAUACUGGAGGGACAUCCCUUUGGUAUCAAAGAUUUUAUCGCUCGGAGAUGGGCUCGCGUCCGAUUAGGUAGUUGGUGAGGUAACGGCUCACCAAGCCGACGAUCGGUAGCCGGACUGAGAGGUCGAACGGCCACAUUGGGACUGAGACACGGCCCAGACUCCUACGGGAGGCAGCAGUGGGGGAUAUUGCACAAUGGGGGAAACCCUGAUGCAGCGACGCCGCGUGUGGGAAGACGGUCCUCUGGAUUGUAAACCACUGUCCCCAGGGACGAAGAUGACGGUACCUGGGGAGGAAGCUCCGGCUAACUACGUGCCAGCAGCCGCGGUAAUACGUAGGGAGCGAGCGUUGUCCGGAAUUACUGGGUGUAAAGGGAGCGUAGGCGGGACUGCCAGUUGGGUGUCAAAUCUACCGGCUCAACCGGUAGCCGCACUCAAAACUGCAGUUCUUG
rnacentral:rRNA from 1 species